rnacentral:rRNA from 1 species
UACGUAGGUGGCAAGCGUUAUCCGGAUUUACUGGGUGUAAAGGGCGAGUAGGCGGGAUUGCAAGUCAGAUGUGAAAACUAUGGGCUCAACCGAUAGAGUGCAUCUGAAACUGCAGUUCUUGAGUGAUGGAGAGGCAGGCGGAAUUCCCGGCGUAGCGGUGGAAUGCGUAGAUAUCGGGAGGAACACCAGUGGCGAAGGCGGCCUGCUGGACAUUAACUGACGCUGAGGCGCGAAAGCGUGGGGAGCAAACAGG